UCACUUUAGCAAUGUAUACACUUACAAUGAAAUGAUGUGGACAAGGUUAGCCUGGCUCCUGUGCAAGAAUAACCUGUGAACUUGGGAAAGAUUCCAUAAGUUU
rnacentral:snRNA from 1 species